CCUACGGGGGGCAGCAGUGGGGAAUAUUGCACAAUGGGGGAAACCCUGAUGCAGCGACGCCGCGUGAGUGAAGAAGUAUUUCGGUACGUAAAGCUCUAUCAGCAGGGAAGAAAAUGACGGUACCUGACUAAGAAGCCCCGGCUAACUACGUGCCAGCAGCCGCGGUAAUACGUAGGGGGCAAGCGUUAUCCGGAUUUACUGGGUGUAAAGGGAGCGUAGACGGCAGCGCAAGUCUGGAGUGAAAUCCCAUGGCUUAACCAUGGAACUGCUUUGGAAACUGUGCAGCUAGAGUGCAGGAGAGGUAAGCGGAAUUCCGAGUGUAGCGGUGAAAUGCGUAGAUAUUAGGAGGAACACCAGUGGCGAAGGCGGCUUACUGGACUGUAACUGACGUUGAGGCUCGAAAGCGUGGGGAGCAAACAGGAUUAGAUACCCCAGUAGUC
rnacentral:rRNA from 1 species